GGAGCAGCGGUGGUCGCGGUUCUGGGAUCCUCUGCCCUUGGAGGAAGGAGGCGCGCACGUGGAGGAGAGCCUCGCGCGCUUUGGAGGAAGAGGGGACGCAGUCCAGAAAAUGCUGGAGACUUCCUAGCAAGAAGUUGCUGUGAUGACAUACAGAAAUGCAAAUCAUCAGUGAAAUGUAUGGGAGUGACUCUCUUUCUUAAGAUACCACACAAAUGUUUACUUUGCAUCAGCCCUUGUAUUGCUAAAACAAUUGGACUGAUUUCUUUAGAACCAUAUUCCUUUACAUGCUCUAUAAAGACACUCUGUUCACAGACUGUGGGUGGAGCAACUGUUGAAACCCUAGCAGGAGUAAUUAUAUAGACUUGAGUAUUAAAUAUACUGUUUUGUGAUGAUAAACUAUGAAACUAUCAUCCCCAAGCUUUUAACCUACUAACUUAUAUAAUAGGUUUGAGACAAAAUAUACACUGUCAUACAAAGGACAUAUAUAUGUACAGGGGCACAAGAUGUGAAAACUGUUACUAAGAUUAUUGUGAAUAAAGUUGAGUCUAAUCUUGAAAAUUAUUUUGAUAUAUACAAAAGGAUAAGGACUGAGAAACAUUUUUAUAUUGGUGAGUUAAAUUAUUGUGUAUUUUCAAAUUUAAGUUUAGAAAUCAAUUGCAAUAAAUUAUUACCAUGAAAUGUUUGCAUAUAUGAUUGAAAUGUAUGCCUGUAUGUAAAAUAUCUUAUAAAAAUAAAAUGUAUAAGCUUCCUAG